AUUGAACGCUGGCGGCAGGCCUAACACAUGCAAGUCGAGCGAGCGGCGGACGGGUGAGUAAUGUCUGGGAAACUGCCUGAUGGAGGGGGAUAACUACUGGAAACGGUAGCUAAUACCGCAUACCAUCAGAUGUGCCCAGAUGGGAUUAGCUAGUAGGUGGGGUAAUGGCUCACCUAGGCGACGAUCCCUAGCUGGUCUGAGAGGAUGACCAGCCACACUGGAAGUGAGACACGGUCGAGACCCGUACGCGAGGCAGCAGUGGGGAAUAGUGCACAAGGGGCGCAAGCCUGAUGCAGCCAUGCCGCGUGUGUGAAGAAGGUCUUCGGGUUGUAAAGCACUUUCAGCGGGGAGGCGUUAACCGAAGAAGAAGCACCGGCUAACUCCGUGCCAGCCGCCGCGGUAAUUC
rnacentral:rRNA from 1 species